rnacentral:rRNA from 1 species
GACGAACGCUGGCGGCGUGCUUAACACAUGCAAGUCGAACGGUAAGGCCCUUCGGGGUACACGAGUGGCGAACGGGUGAGUAACACGUGGGUGAUCUGCCCUGCACUUCGGGAUAAGCCUGGGAAACUGGGUCUAAUACCGGAUAGGACCACUGCCUGCAUGGGUGGUGGUGGAAAGCUCUUGCGGUGUGGGAUGGGCCCGCGGCCUAUCAGCUUGUUGGUGGGGUGAUGGCCUACCAAGGCGACGACGGGUAGCCGGCCUGAGAGGGUGACCGGCCACACUGGGACUGAGAUACGGCCCAGACUCCUACGGGAGGCAGCAGUGGGGAAUAUUGCACAAUGGGCGCAAGCCUGAUGCAGCGACGCCGCGUGAGGGAUGACGGCCUUCGGGUUGUAAACCUCUUUCAGCACCGACGAAGCGCAAGUGACGGUAGGUGCAGAAGAAGGACCGGCCAACUACGUGCCAGCAGCCGCCGCAG